rnacentral:rRNA from 11 species
AGCUGUGGUGGUGGUGGAGCUUUAAAGGCACCAGAUUCCACCUGACCUUGGAAGCUAAACAAGGUCAAUCCUGGUUAAUAAUUGGAUGAGCGACAACGUAUGAAUACCAGGUGCUGUAGGUU